rnacentral:rRNA from 1 species
GAUGAACGCUGGCGGCGUGCCUAAUACAUGCAAGUCGAGCGAACGGACGAGAAGCUUGCUUUUCUGAUGUUAGCGGCGGACGGGUGAGUAACACGUGGAUAACCUACCUAUAAGACUGGGAUAACUUCGGGAAACCGGAGCUAAUACCGGAUAAUAUUUUGAACCGCAUGGUUCAAAAGUGAAAGACGGUCUUGCUGUCACUUAUAGAUGGAUCCGCGCUGCAUUAGCUAGUUGGUAAGGUAACGGCUUACCAAGGCAACGAUGCAUAGCCGACCUGAGAGGGUGAUCGGCCACACUGGAACUGAGACACGGUCCAGACGCCUACGGGAGGCAGCAGUAGGGAAUCUUCCGCAAUGGGCGAAAGCCUGACGGAGCAACGCCGCGUGAGUGAUGAAGGUCUUCGGAUCGUAAAACUCUGUUAUUAGGGAAGAACAUAUGUGUAAGUAACUGUGCACAUCUUGACGGUACCUAAUCAGAAAGCCACGGUUAACUACGUG